rnacentral:rRNA from 1 species
GAUGAACGCUGACAGAAUGCUUAACACAUGCAAGUCUUUGGCGAAGCUGUGCUUGCACAGCCUAGCCAAGGCGGACGGGUGAGUAACGCGUAAGGAACUUGCCCUGCAGUCAGGGAUAACAGACGGAAACGACUGAUAAGACCUGGUAAAGUCAGGCGGACUCAUGUCCAGCCUGAUGAAAAGAGAUGCUGCAGGAGAGCCUUGCGUCCUAUUAGCUUGUUGGUGGGGUAACGGCCCACCAAGGCGAUGAUAGGUAGCCGGCCUGAGAGGGUGGACGGCCAAAAGGGGACUGAGAUACGGCCCUUACUCCUACGGGAGGCAGCAGUGGGGAAUAUUGGACAAUGGGGGCAACCCUGAUCCAGCAAUUCUGUGUGCACGAUGAAGGUUUUCGGAUUGUAAAGUGCUUUCAGCAGGGAAGAAAAAAAUGACGGUACCUGCAGAAGAAGCGACGGCUAAAUACGUG